rnacentral:rRNA from 1 species
GCAAGUCGAACGCUGAAGCCUGGUGCUUGCACCGGGUGGAUGAGUGGCGAACGGGUGAGUAACACGUGAGUAACCUGCCCCUGACUUCGGGAUAAGCCCGGGAAACUGGGUCUAAUACCGGAUACGACUGCCGGACGCAUGUCUGGUGGUGGAAAGUUUUUUCGGUUGGGGAUGGGCUCGCGGCCUAUCAGUUUGUUGGUGAGGUAAUGGCUCACCAAGACGACGACGGGUAGCCGGCCUGAGAGGGCGACCGGCCACACUGGGACUGAGACACGGCCCAGACUCCUACGGGAGGCAGCAGUGGGGAAUAUUGCACAAUGGGGGAAACCCUGAUGCAGCGACGCAGCGUGCGGGAUGACGGCCUUCGGGUUGUAAACCGCUUUCAGCAGGGAAGAAGCGCAAGUGACGGUACCUGCAGAAGAAGUACCGGCUAACUACGUGCCAGCAGCCGCGGUAAUACGUAGGGUACGAGCGUUGUCCGGAAUUAUUGGGCGUAAAGAGCUCGUAGGUGGUUGGUCACGUCUGCUGUGGAAACGCAACGCUUAACGUUGCGCGUGCAGUGGGUACGGGCUGACUAGAGUGCAGUAGGGGAGUCUGGAAUUCCUGGUGUAGCGGUGAAAUGCGCAGAUAUCAGGAGGAACACCGGUGGCGAAGGCGGGACUCUGGGCUGUAACUGACACUGAGGAGCGAAAGCAUGGGGAGCGAACAGGAUUAGAUACCCUGGUAGUCCAUGCCGUAAACGUUGGGCACUAGGUGUGGGGGGCAUUCCACGUUCUCCGCGCCGUAGCUAACGCAUUAAGUGCCCCGCCUGGGGAGUACGGUCGCAAGGCUAAAACUCAAAGGAAUUGACGGGGGCCCGCACAAGCGGCGGAGCAUGCGGAUUAAUUCGAUGCAACGCGAAGAACCUUACCAAGGCUUGACAUACACCGGACCGUCCUGGAAACAGGUCCUCUUCUUUGAAGCUGGUGUACAGGUGGUGCAUGGUUGUCGUCAGCUCGUGUCGUGAGAUGUUGGGUUAAGUCCCGCAACGAGCGCAACCCUCGUUCUAUGUUGCCAGCACGUGAUGGUGGGAACUCAUAGGAGACUGCCGGGGUCAACUCGGAGGAAGGUGGGGAUGACGUCAAAUCAUCAUGCCCUUUAUGUCUUGGGCUUCACGCAUGCUACAAUGGCUGGUACAGAGAGAGGCGAACCCGUGAGGGCAAGCGAAUCCCUUAAAGCCAGUCUCAGUUCGGAUCGUAGUCUGCAAUUCGACUACGUGAAGUCGGAGUCGCUAGUAAUCGCAGAUCAGCAACGCUGCGGUGAAUACGUUCCCGGGCCUUGUACACACCGCCCGUCAAGUCACGAAAGUCGGUAACACCCGAAGCCGGUGGCCUAACCGUAAGGAGGGGG